GCCAGACUCCUACGGGAGGCAGCAGUGAGGAAUAUUGGUCAAUGGCCGAGAGGCUGAACCAGCCAAGUCGCGUGAGGGAAGACGGCCCUACGGGUUGUAAACCUCUUUUGUCGGGGAGCAAAGCGAGUCACGUGUGACUCAUUGAGAGUACCCGAAGAAAAAGCAUCGGCUAACUCCGUGCCAGCAGCCGCGGUAAUACGGAGGAUGCGAGCGUUAUCCGGAUUUAUUGGGUUUAAAGGGUGCGCAGGCGGAGGUGCAAGUCAGCGGUCAAAUUGCGGGGCUCAACCCCGUACUGCCGUUGAAACUGCGUUUCUUGAGUGGGCGAGAAGUACGCGGAAUGCGUGGUGUAGCGGUGAAAUGCAUAGAUAUCACGCAGAACUCCGAUUGCGAAGGCAGCAUACCGGCGCUCAACUGACGCUCAUGCACGAAAGCGUGGGUAUCGAACAGGAUUAGAUACCCUAGUAGUC
rnacentral:rRNA from 1 species